rnacentral:lncRNA from 1 species
AGGGAAGGGAAAUGGCUGACCUAUUCAGACCGAUCCUUUGGCUAAUGUUACAAGCCUCCGUGGAAGGAACACCAUGAAUCUUGGUAGCUUACGUGAAUAUGCUAUGGAACGACAGACAGCUUGCUCUUAGUACAUCUGGUGCGUUGUGAAGAACAUUGGUAUUAACACUUGAGACUCAGAACAGGUAAGAGAUGAAAUGCUGUAGAUUAGGAUGCCAAAAUGUUACUUUUUGUUACAGUUAAACGCAAUAUGGAUCUAACAAUUAUUUGGGGGUGAGUUUUAAGCACAAUAGCUAGCUGAAUUAUUACAUCUAGA